AGAGAGAGACAUGCGCGCAUAUCAAUAAGCGGAGGAAAAGAAACUAACUAGGAUUCCCUCAGUAACGGCGAGUGAAGCGGGAAGAGCUCAAAUUUGAAAUCUUCAAGGUUCUACCUUGACGAAUUGUAGUUUAAAGAAGUGUUUUCGGUUAGAGGAGUAGUAAAAGUUCUUUGGAAUAGGACAUCGUAGAGGGUGAGAAUCCCGUAUUUGACUAUUCUUUCUAGCUUUGUGAUACACUUUCAAAGAGUCGGAUUGUUUGGGAAUGCAGUCCAAAAUGGGUGGUAAAUUUCAUCUAAAGCUAAAUAUUGGCGAGAGACCGAUAGCGAACAAGUACCGUGAGGGAAAGAUGAAAAGAACUUUGAAAAGAGAGUUAAACAGUACGUGAAAUUGUCAAAAGGGAAGCGUUUGACACCAGUGUUGUUUUCUCGAAAAUCAAUUAAAAAUGGCAGGAUUUUGUGUUGUAUUGACUUUAUCAGCUUUCUGCACUUUUUUCUUGUCUUUUUUAAUGCACUUUUCGUUAACAAGUCAACAUCAAUUUCUUUUGUUGUAAAAGGGUAAUAGGAAGGUGGCUUUACUUUCGGAGUAAAGUGUUUAUAGCCUUUGAUCUCUGCAAUCGGAGAGAUUGAGGUCUGCAGCGUAGAUCCUUCGGGGUUAGAUACAUCUGUGCUAAGUUAUAGCCUUUUCAUAGACAACUUGUUGACUAUGAUCAGUCAUGUAGCUUACUCGCUUAUGUCAUUUUACCUACGCUUAGGAUGUUGACAGCAGUAUAGACUGU
rnacentral:rRNA from 1 species